UGGGAAACUGCCUGAUGGAGGGGGAUAACUACUGGAAACGGUAGCUAAUACCGCAUAAUGUCGCAAGACCAAAGUGGGGGACCUUCGGGCCUCAUGCCAUCAGAUGUGCCCAGAUGGGAUUAGCUAGUAGGUGGGGUAACGGCUCACCUAGGCGACGAUCCCUAGCUGGUCUGAGAGGAUGACCAGCCACACUGGAACUGAGACACGGUCCAGACUCCUACGGGAGGCAGCAGUGGGGAAUAUUGCACAAUGGGCGCAAGCCUGAUGCAGCCAUGCCGCGUGUGUGAAGAAGGCCUUCGGGUUGUAAAGCACUUUCAGCGGGGAGGAAG
rnacentral:rRNA from 1 species